AUCCUGAGAUAAGAGGGGAGCUGGUCAGGACAGUCCAGGCUCUGUUCCAAUCCCUCCCUAGAAAUGAGAUGUCCUUCCAGGCUUAGCCCAGAGGGUCUUGUAACCCCGAGGUAUAAAACUCAGUGUGGGCUGCUUUCUGAGGUCCCUCAGCUGCUAUGAAAGUGGAGCACAUGCAGUUGAGACUCCAUCCACCCAGGCAGCUUUCCUGAACCUUGGAGGACUGGGUGGCAAUGAAUCCUCGGUUUCUGUUGUCCCUUGCUGCCUGCCUAUCUGACAUGUAGACUGGUGCUCCAGCAGCCAUCUUGGACCAUGAAGUGACCUUGGGAAUGAAAGCUAAGGAUAAUGGAGCAAAAACAUUGAAGCCUGGAUUCCUGAAGGUACCGGACAGCUGCCAUGCCACCCCUGGACGGCCUGCUUCCCAAAUUUCUUUUAUUUAAGACAGAAAUAAACUUUAAUCUUAUUAUAUCAUUUUCUCAUA
rnacentral:lncRNA from 1 species